AAAUAGAUGAAAUGCCCGUGUCAGGUUGCAUGAAAAAAGACUGUCUUUUAGAGUUAGAGAAUGACACGUGUCAUCACAAUUGUUUUAACAAUUUGAAAUAUUUGUCAAUGAUUCAAAAAUACUUGAAACAUGUCAAUCAAAAGUUUGACUUAUAAUCUAUUGAUUGAUAAUGAAUUUAAAGUACUUUAAUAAGAGAAAGAACAGAACAGUAAGAAAAUAAUUUGAUUAAUAAUCAAGUCGAAUGAUAAAACUAAUGAUUACAUGACACUUAACAAUGAUUGUCAUUCUUCUAAUAAAUAUUCUCCUCUGAUAAAUACCAGUACCCAGUCUCAACAAAGCAGCCAUUCCUGAGCGUAAUGUUGGUGAUGAAUUAAUAUUUGAGUUGAAUUUGAAGUCAAGAAAAAAUGGAUUAAAGUUGAGUCAUCAGGUAAACUCAAACUACCUUCUGCUGGCACAUAUGAUCAAUGGAUGCAAUAUGACUAAAAAAAAGAAACUGAUCGUAAAACUAAAGAAGAAAAGCUACAUAAAAGAAAACAAUUACUAAAUGAGAAAAAAGUGAUAGCUGAUGAACGGAAAAAGCUACUAGAGAACGCAUUACUACAAAGGAUCAAAGAAGAAAUGAAAUAGUUGAAUUUUUGGUUUAAUUUAAUGUAUAUUUGGUUUUUAUAUCUUGUUUAUUAAUCCUAAGAUUUGAAACUGUUUUUGUCAUACUUACUUUGUAAGUGAAUAUUUAUUUAUUGCUUGUUUAUUCGUAUAAUUUUUAAAUCU